rnacentral:rRNA from 1 species
GAUGAACGCUAGCGGCAGGCUUAAUACAUGCAAGUUGAGGGGCAGCAUGAUAUACGCGAGUAUAUUGAUGGCGACCGGCGGACGGGUGAGUAAUAGGUAGGAGACCUACCUCAUACAGGGGGAUAGCAUAGAGAAAUCUGUGGUAAUACCCCAUGAGGUUAUAUGAAUAGAGGCAUAUAAUCAAAGCAUAAGCGAUUAUGCGGUAUGAGAGGGGCCUACUGACCAUUAGCUAGUUGGUGAGGUAAGGGCUCACCAAGGCGAAGAUGGGUUAGGGGUUUUGAGAGAGAGACCCCCCACAUUGGAACUGAGAGACGGUCCAGACUCCUACGGGAGGCAGCAGUAGGGAAUAUUGGGCAAUGGGCGAAAGCCUGACCCAGCCAUGCCGCGUGAAGGAAGACGGCCUUAUGGGUUGUAAACUUCUUACUACGCGAAUAGAGGUUAGUACGAGAUACUAAAUAGGAAGGUAGUGUAGUAAAAAGCACCGGCUAACUCCGUG